GGACGGGGAAGAGCAGUAGCUGGAGAACUUGUAAAACCGUUGUCCGAAAGGACUUAAGGGUUCGAGUCCCUUGCCCUCCGCCA
rnacentral:tRNA from 1 species